GAAACGACUGCUAAGACUGGAUAGGAAACAGAAAGGCAUCUUUUUGUUUUUAAAAGACCUUCUUCGGAGGGUAUGCUUAAAGAGGGGCUUGCGCCACAUUAGUUAGUUGGUGAGGUAAAGGCUUACCAAGAUUAUGAUGUGUAGCUGGACUGAGAGGUUGAACAGCCACAUUGGGACUGAGACACGGCCCAAACUCCUACGGGAGGCAGCAGUAGGGAAUUUUUGGCAAUGGAGGAAGCUCUGACCGAGCGACGCCGCGUGAACGAUGAAGUAUUUCGGUAUGUAAAGUUCUUUUAUUGAAGAAGAAAAAAUAGUGGAAAAACUAUCUUGACGUUAUUCAAUGAAUAAGCCCCGGCUAACUAUGUGCCAGCAGCCGCGGUAAGACAUAGGGGGCGAGCGUUAUCCGGAAUUAUUGGGCGUAAAGGGUGCGUAGGCGGUUAGAUAAGUCUAUAAUUUAAUUUCAGUGCUUAACGCUGUCUUGUUAUAGAAACUGUCUUGACUAGAGUGAGAUAGAGGCAAGCGGAAUUCCAUGUGUAGCGGUAAAAUGUGUAAAUAUAUGGAGGAACACCAGAAGCGUAGGCGGCUUGCUGGGUCUUUACUGACGCUGAGGCACGAAAGCGUGGGGAGCAAACAGGAUUAGAUACCCUGGUAGUCCACGCUGUAAACGAUGAGUACUAAGUGUCGGGGUAACUCGGUACUGAAGUUAACACAUUAAGUACUCCGCCUGAGUAGUACGUACGCAAGUAUGAAACUUAAAGGAAUUGACGGGACUCCGCACAAGCGGUGGAUCAUGUUGUUUAAUUCGAAGAUACACGAAAAACCUUACCAGGUCUUGACGUACUCUGCAAAGCUAUAGAAAUAUAGUGGAGGUUAUCAGGGAUACAGGUGGUGCAUGGUUGUCGUCAGUUCGUGUCGUGAGAUGUUAGGUUAAGUCCUAAAACGAACGCAACCCCUGUCGCUAGUUGCCAGCACGUAAUGGUGGGGACUUUAGCGAGACUGCCAAUUAAACAUUGGAGGAAGGUGGGGAUAACGUCAAAUCAUCAUGCCCCUUAUGAUCUGGGCUACAAACGUGAUACAAUGGCUAUUACAAAGAGUAGCUGAAACGCGAGUUUUUAGCCAAUCUCAAAAAGGUAGUCUCAGUACGGAUUGAAGUCUGCAACUCGACUUCAUGAAGCUGGAAUCGCUAGUAAUCGCGAAUCAGCAUGUCGCGGUGAAUACGUUCUCGGGGUUUGUACACACCGCCCGUCA
rnacentral:rRNA from 1 species